ensembl:lncRNA
AGAAGUCCUUUUGGCAGUCUGGUGUUCUGGAGCACUCAGGUGUGUAUCUACAUCAUGCCAGUAAGAACGGAUAUCAGCCAUGACUUCAGAGAAGCAAUUGUUGCUGCUUAUCAAUCUGGGAAGGUCAGAUCCAAACAAUUUUAAAAUUCAUAAUUUUACAAUGACAAGGAUUGUUUACAAAUGGAGAGCCUUCAAGACAGUUGCCAAUCUUCUCAGGAGUGCGUGUCCCAGCAGAUUCAGUCUACAUCAUGUGACCUACAGGAAAGGAGAUGAGCGGUUUGCUUGGAUAUUGUAGAAGAUGGCCGAAACACUUUUGUUGACUACGAACACUCAAGCUGUCUUAUUUGAUCUUUAAUCCAGGAAGCAUGUUGGCC